CGGCCAACUUGUUCCGAAACACGUAGCACGAUUGCCCAAGGAUCUAGACGGUUGAUCAAUCGUUUGGAGUGCGGAACCUAGAACCAAGAUGGACGACUCAACUUGAUUAAAGGCGGUAGAACAGCGACUCUAAUUGAGAUGAGGAAGAGUAGAACUCUGGCAGGAAGCUCGAAGUUACAUCUCAAUACAUAUUACUAUUUGAUGUCUUCUCGUUGUGCUUAACUUUGGAAUGUAUUAUUUUGAGAUGUAAAAUUUUUAUUGACCAAGUUAUUUUUGACAAGUUUGAGAUAACAAGUUUUUAAAUAUUUUACCUUUUGAGA